rnacentral:rRNA from 1 species
UACGUAGGUGGCAAGCGUUGUCCGGAUUUACUGGGCGUAAAGAGCGCGCAGGCGGUCGUUCAAGUCGAGUGUGAAAGCCCCCGGCUCAACUGGGGAGGGUCAUUCGAUACUGAUCGACUCGAAGGCAGGAGAGGGUAGUGGAAUUCCCGGUGUAGUGGUGAAAUGCGUAGAGAUCGGGAGGAACACCUGUGGCGAAGGCGGCCGACUGGGCCGACCCUGACGCUGAGGCGCGAAGGCGUGGGGAGCGAACGGG